rnacentral:rRNA from 1 species
CCUACGGGAGGCAGCAGUGAGGAAUAUUGGACAAUGGGCGGGAGCCUGAUCCAGCCAUGUCGCGUGCAGGAAGACUGCCCUAUGGGUUGUAAACUGCUUUUAUACAGGAAGAAUAAGCCCUACGUGUAAGGUGAUGACGGUACUGUAAGAAUAAGGACCGGCUAACUCCGUGCCAGCAGCCGCGGUAAUACGGAGGGUCCGAGCGUUAUCCGGAAUUAUUGGGUUUAAAGGGUCCGUAGGCGGAUGAUUAAGUCAGGGGUGAAAGUUUGCAGCUCAACUGUAAAAUUGCCUUUGAUACUGGUUAUCUUGAGUUGUAUUGAAGUAGGCGGAAUAUGUAGUGUAGCGGUGAAAUGCAUAGAUAUUACAUAGAACACCAAUUGCGAAGGCAGCUUACUAAGUACUAACUGACGCUGAUGGACGAAAGCGUGGGUAGCGAACAGGAUUAGAUACCCUGGUAGUCCACGCCGUAAACGAUGGAUACUAGCUGUUCGGGGCCUUGAGCUCUGAGCGGCUAAGCGAAAGUGAUAAGUAUCCCACCUGGGGAGUACGUUCACAAGAAUGAAACUCAAAGGAAUUGACGG